rnacentral:rRNA from 1 species
UACGUAGGGUCCAAGCGUUAUCCGGAAUCACUGGGCGUAAAGGGCGCGUAGGCGGCCUGAUAAGUAGGGGGUGAAAUCCUGCGGCUUAACCGCAGGGCUGCCUUCUAAACUGUCAGGCUAGAGCACAGUAGAGGCAGGUGGAAUUCCCGGUGUAGCGGUGGAAUGCGUAGAGAUCGGGAAGAACAUCAGUGGCGAAGGCGGCCUGCUGGGCUGUUGCUGACGCUGAGGCGCGACAGCGUGGGGAGCAAACAGG